rnacentral:rRNA from 1 species
UACGUAGGUGACAAGCGUUAUCCGGAAUUACUGGGCGUAAAGCGCACGCAGGCGGUGCGGUAAGUCUGAUGUGAAAUCUCCUGGCUUAACUGGGAGGGGUCAUUGGAAACUGCCGUACUUGAGGCGAUGAGAGGGGUGUAGAAUUCCCGGUGUAGUGGUGGAAUGCGUAGAUAUCGGGAGGAAUACCAGUGGCGAAAGCGACACCCUGGCAUUAGCCUGACGCUCAUGUGCGAAGGCGUGGGGAGCGAACGGG